GACGAACGCUGGCGGCGUGCCUAAUACAUGCAAGUAGAACGCUGAAGGAGGAGCUUGCUUUUCUGGAUGAGUUGCGAACGGGUGAGUAACGCGUAGGUAACCUGCCUGGUAGCGGGGGAUAACUAUUGGAAACGAUAGCUAAUACCGCAUAAGAGUAGAUGUUGCAUGACAUUUGCUUAAAAGGUGCAAUUGCAUCACUACCAGAUGGACCUGCGUUGUAUUAGCUAGUUGGUGGGGUAACGGCUCACCAAGGCGACGAUACAUAGCCGAGCUGAGAGGGUGAUCGAGCACACUGGGACUGAGACACGGCCCAGACUCCUACGGGGGGCAGCAGUAGGGAAUCUUCGGCAAUGGACGGAAGUCUGACCGAGCAACGCCGCGGGAGUGAAGAAGGUUUUCGGAUCGUAAAGCUCUGUUGUAAGAGAAGAACGAGUAUGAAGGUGGAAAGUUCACACUGUGACGGUAGCUUACCAGAAAGGAACGGCUAACUACGUG
rnacentral:rRNA from 1 species